AUGUUUUCCGCCCAAUCCCGCUCCAAAGCAAACCACGUUCGCAUCUCCCUCACCACCGCCCAGAAAGGAACCCAAUCUGCCGCCACAUACUUCGGUCACAUGCGAGGCCUUGCCGAUGAGUUAGUCGCAGCCGGCAAACCUAUCACAGAAAAUGAGCUCGUCUCCCACAUCAUCUCUGGCCUAGACAUGGAUUACCAACCGAUUAUCUCUGCCCUUGAUGUUCGUCCUGAUGAUGUUUCUGUAGAUGAGCUCUUCGGCAUGGUUGCUACCUUCGAUCAGAGGGUGGAGAUGUUCCAGGGCACGGGCGCAGGCGCCUUCAAGUCGUCGGCCAAUGCCGCAUCGCGCGGCCGUGGAGGUGGCCAGCCCAAAGGCUACCGCGGCAACGGUGGCGGCGGCGGCGGCUCCCGUCGUGAUGGACAUGGCGGCGGUGCCCACAACCCCAUCAGUGGCGGCGGUGGCCACUACGGUGACCACGGCAACCAGUACGGGGGUGGUGGCGGCGGCCACUACUCCAACAACGGCGGCGGCGGCUACAACUACAACACCCAUCACCAGGGAGGAGGCCGACCCUUCUACAACAACAAUAGGGGCAGUCAAAACAACUACAACAACAACAACUUUCGCGGGUAUGAUGAGUAUGAGGGCAAGUGCCAAAUUUGUAAGAAAACUAAUCACAUAGCAAAAGAGUGCAAGUGGCGAUAUGCUGAAGAUAACUCACGCAAGAAGAAGAUUGCUGAUGCGGCAAACACAGGCUAUGGUGCAGGCUAUGGUGCAUAUUCAAACUGGUAUGUGGAUUCUGGAGCCACGGACCACAUCACCCAUGAGCUAGAGAAGGUCACCAUGCAUGAAAGAUACAACGGGCACGAUCAAGUUCAUAAUGCCGAUGGUUCAGGAUCAGGUCACGAAGCAAAUUCUUUACCGAGGUAG
rnacentral:rRNA from 1 species